rnacentral:rRNA from 1 species
GACAGAGGUGCCGAGCGUUAGGCGGAAUCACUGGGCUUAAAGCGUGUGUAGGCGGAUCGUUAAGUACCUUGUGAAAUCCCACGGCUCAACCAUGGAACUGCUGGGUAUACUGGCGGUCUUGAGCCACCUAGGGGCGAGCGGAACAAGCGGUGGAGCGGUGAAAUGCGUAGAUAUCGACUUGGAACGCCAACGGUGAAAACAGCUCGCUGGGGUGUGCUGACGCUGGAGAACACGGAAAGCCAGGGGAGCGAACGGG